rnacentral:lncRNA from 1 species
UGGAACCCAGGAGUUCAAGACCAUCCUGGGUAAGAUAACAGCACCUCAGAGAAGAUUUGGAAAAUAAAUGAGCUGAUGAGAGCAAUUUUCUGCUUCCUGGGCCACCACAGUCUUCUUUGCUGUUUUUGAUUGCAACCAUUUUCAGAGAAGAAUCAACACCAAAGCCUCAAUACCUGAAACAGAGCUGGCAUGUGGCAUAUCCUCAGAAACAUUUGCUAAAUGACACCUAGUCUAUAGGAGGAGGACUCAUUCUUAACCAUUAGAUUUAGCCAUGCAGAAGUCAGAUCAAGAGUAAACAGAGCAAGAACAGUUUUGGUGCUGUGAUGGGUCAAAAGCCUGAGUCAGAUUACAUGUAUAUAAAUUACCUAGUAACGAGCAUGACCUCUGUCCAAGCAGAAGGCAAGCAGGGGAGAAGAUUUAGCUGCUCAACUACAGUUAUUCUCUCAACCCAAGCUAAGGUAGUUGGUGCCAUACAUUUCCCACAGGACUACUAUUUUCCAAUAUCAACAUCUUUAAUUUAUUUAUUUAUUUUUGUUUUAGUGCACUAGCUGGAAGUUUCGAUAUAAUGUUAAAUACAAAGGAUGAGAGUAAAUAUUCUUACAUUUUUCCUGGUCUUAUGAAGAAAGAAUUUUCUUUCACCAUUAAGUAUUAUGUUGUCUGUAGGUUUUUCACAUAUGUUCAUAGUGGGUUGAAGCACUC